CGGUGAAAGCGGCGUCUGAGUCGACCCAGUAGAGCCACUCAGCUUCCGGGUGGGCUACCAUGGCAGCGCGUAGGACAGGGAUCUUUGCCCAGUAGGCGAACAUGCGGGGGUCGAGGAGGACGGUGUUGUAGAAGAGCUGGAUGUUGUGGAGGCGGCAGUAGUCGACUUUGUUCUUGAAGAAGCGGAGGAGGAGGUGAUCGCCGAUGGGGUUGCGGCAGGGGGUCGGCUGGGAGCCGGUGACCAUAAGGAUCCGGUCGGCGCCGCCUCCGGCGGCAGAGGUAGCGUACUCGGGGUGGAGGCGGAGCCAGUGGCGGCGUUUCUCGUCCCAGUUCUUGAUGGGUCGGUCAAUGGUGUAGGAGAGGGAUGGGUCGUCGUAGAACGUGGUGAUGGAGGGGUCGGCGGGGGAGGGGUCGGCGGGG
rnacentral:misc_RNA from 1 species